UGUUUUGUGGCUUAGUUGCUUAAAACGCCGGACUAGUAAUACGGAGUCGUGGGUUUGAAUACCACUAGAACCA
rnacentral:tRNA from 1 species